AUAGAAACUGUUCCAAUGAUUACAGCUGAAAACACAACAGUUGAGAAAAUAGUGAUACUUCUGGAACAUGUCAUGUAAUUUCCAGUUGAUGGUGAUGUAGAAGGGGUGAUUCUGAACCUCUUUCACAUCUCUAGGUCCACCUCCAAGACGUGUGUUUGGGUCCUUAUGCAGCAGGCCCCUGAGGAGGUCUCGUGCUUCUUGUGAUAUUGUACGUGGGAAUCUUACCUAUUGUUAAAACAGGGAAUGAAGUUAAAAUAUUGCUUGCUUGCUUUGGAUGAAAGUAUUUCUUAAUGCCAAUGUAGUAAUACAUAUA